rnacentral:rRNA from 1 species
UACAGAGGCCUCGAGCGUUAGGCGGAAUCACUGGGCUUAAAGCGUGUGUAGGCGGAUGUCUAAGUGCCUUGUGAAAUCCCAUGGCUCAACCAUGGAACUGCUGGGCAUACUGGACGUCUUGAGCCAUCCAGGGGUCGCUGGAACAAACGGUGGAGCGGUGAAAUGCGUAGAGAUCCGGAGGAACACCGACGGCGAAGGCAGCGCCCUGGACGAGACCUGACGCUCAGGCACGAAAGCUGGGGGAGCAAACAGG